AUACGUAUGGCGCAAACGUUGUUCGGAAUCACUGGGCCUAAAGAGCGCGUAGGCGGUUAGGUAAGUCAGAUGUGAAAUCCCCCGGCUCAACCGGGGAACUGCACCUGAUACUGCCUGGCUAGAGUGCAGGAGGGGAGAGUGGAAUUCCUGGUGGAGCGGUGAAAUGCGUAGAUAUCAGGAGGAACGCCGGCGGCGAAAGCGGCUCUCUGGUCUGUUACUGACGCUGAGGCGCGAAAGCUAGGGGAGCAAACGGGAUUAGAAACCCCGGUAGUCC
rnacentral:rRNA from 1 species